rnacentral:rRNA from 1 species
CACGAAGGGGGCUAGCGUUGCUCGGAAUCACUGGGCGUAAAGCGCACGUAGGCGGACUCUUAAGUCGGUGGUGAAAUCCUGGAGCUCAACUCCAGAACUGCCUUCGAUACUGAGAGUCUCGAGUCCGAGAGAGGUGAGUGGAACUGCGAGUGUAGAGGUGAAAUUCGUAGAUAUUCGCAAGAACACCAGUGGCGAAGGCGGCUCACUGGCCCGGUACUGACGCUGAGGUGCGAAAGCGUGGGGAGCAAACAGG